rnacentral:rRNA from 1 species
UACGAAGGGGGCUAGCGUUGCUCGGAAUCACUGGGCGUAAAGCGCACGUAGGCGGGCCUUUAAGUCAGGGGUGAAAUCCUGGAGCUCAACUCCAGAACUGCCUUUGAUACUGAGGAUCUCGAGUCCGGGAGAGGUGAGUGGAACUCCGAGUGUAGAGGUGAAAUUCGUAGAUAUUCGGAAGAACACCAGUGGCGAAGGCGGCUCACUGGCCCGGUACUGACGCUGAUGUGCGAAAGCGUGGGGAGCAAACAGG